AUUGAACGCUGGCGGCAGGCCUAACACAUGCAAGUCGAGCGGACGAAGGGAGCUUGCUCCUGGAUUCAGCGGCGGACGGGUGAGUAAGGCCUAGGAAUCUGCCUGGUAGUGGGGGAUAACGUCCGGAAACGGGCGCUAAUACCGCAUACGUCAUGAGGGAGAAAGGGGGGGAUCUUCGGACCUCACGCUAUCAGAUGAGCCUAGGACGGAUUAGCUAGUUGGUGGGGUAAAGGCCUACCAAGGCGACGAUCCGUAACUGGUCUGAGAGGAUGAUCAGUCACACUGGAACUGAGACACGGUCCAGACUCCUACGGGAGGCAGCAGUGGGGAAUAUUGGACAAUGGGCGAAAGCCUGAUCCAGCCAUGCCGCGUGUGUGAAGAAGGUCUUCGGAUUGUAAAGCACUUUAAGUUGGGAGGAAGAGCAGUAAGUUAAUACCUUGCUGUUUUGACGUUACCAACAGAAUAAGCACCGGCUAACUUCGUG
rnacentral:rRNA from 1 species